rnacentral:misc_RNA from 1 species
CAGAGGGCAGGGUGCUGGCUAACGGCCAGUCGAGGCGACUCGCAGGAAAGUGCCACAGAAAACAGACCGCCCGUUCCGCGAGGGGCGGGUAAGGGUGAAACGGUGCGGUAAGAGCGCACCGCGUCCGGGGUGACUCGGGCGGCUCGGUAAACCCCACCUGGAGCAAGAGCCAAUAGGAGCGCGUCCCCGCUGUCCGGGGGACAGGGGUUGCCCGCCCCAUGCGUUCGGGUUGCUCGCUGAUGAGGUCCCUGGGCAACCAGGGCCCUAGAUGAAUGUUCAUCGCCCGUCCCGAAAGGGGCGGGA